ACCCGGAACCCGGGGCCCGGGGCUGGCAGCGCCUCCGAGGAAGUCUUCGGUCUCUCGAGGACUAAAGGCUGGGCGUUGACGGGUAGCGUAGACGGUGGACUACAGAAGCCCCGUCCUAGGUCACUGCCGGGCGGCUAACGUGCCCAGGGCGUCCAGGACGCGGUCCCCAGCACGGUUCCAAGCCAAGCCGGUCCACGGAUUGACGUACUAAGCUCAAGUCUGGUCCGGAGGACUCCGGGCAGGGCAUCUGUAUCUGGAUUUGCCCCGCAACCCGAGCAGUGUCAGUGUUUCCACAUACACCGGGUGCACACAGGGAGAAAGUACAGGACUCAUAUUGCACGAACCCGGAGAACGACCAGGGUUGUGCCGAGUGACGAGCGUGGACACCAAGACCUUGGAGAUAAAGGUUCCUAGCUGUACGCCCUAUCAAUUUGGCCAAAGGGAAAAUGGAGGGAGGAAAAAGAAAAAGAAGCAACUGCGUUGGCCGGGAAUCGAACCCGGGUCAACUGCUUGGAAGGCAGCUAUGCUCACCACUAUACCACCAACGCAGAUGAAAACCAGAGUGGCUACAAGUCUAGUUAUAUUUAUUUUCUCGCCUACUCUUUGUUGCUGUGUUAAACUGUGUGAUUACAUCAAAAGUAUGGGUAAGAAAAACAAGAUUUAAAAAAACUAAAUGAGAUGGACUUUGUUUUGUUUUGGUUUUUGUCAUGAGCACCUCUGGGAUUAAAUCUAAAACUCUGUUGGGGAAUCAGUGACACCAUAAUGACAUCAUCCCUAGGGGAAAAAAUCGUUCCAAAAGUUUAAGUCGCUUCUCUGAGUGAAUUUAGUGUAGCCCAAGACUAAAGAAUCUGCCUUUCUGCCAAACGUACGUAAGCACAUCUCAUCGUUCAACCGCAGUCACUUCCACGUGAGCACGAGCCUCCCUCUGUCAGAGGACCGUGCGAGCAAAGCCCGAGACCGAGCCUGAAGAAAUAGACACACUCCGUGCUCACGCUCCGUGCUCACUGCGGGGAGGAAUCAGUUCACCACACCCGUCAAACCAGGCCUUCACGGAGGCCUCGUGGCGCAACGGUAGCGCGUCUGACUCCAGAUCAGAAGGUUGCGUGUUCAAAUCACGUCGGGGUCAUUAUCUGUCCUAAUUUUCUAGUUAUGUCUGUCACUAGUAGUCGGAUCUAAUCGUUACACUCUUUUCAGGUUUCCGUUGAAAUAUUCAUGUUUUAAACAUUUAGAUAUCCUAACAGUAAUUGUUAAUUAGCAGUCCCCCUUCAACUCUUGCUCAGGAAAUUUAUUUACGGUAAUAAAUAUUCUUUUUUCGGAUAAACUGUAGGAAUAAUCACUUUAAAAACUAUAAUAGCGGGGGGGGGGGGGCGUCCGCCCUUAAUCCAGCACUCGGGAGGCAGAGCCAGGCGAAUCUCCGUGAAUUCGAUGCUGUCUGAUCUACAAGAGCUAGUUCCAGACUGUAAUUAUCCCAAAGCACUUUUUUUUUCGCUUUGAACUGCUUAAUUUAUGUCUACUGCUGGGGUCCACACAAUUUUGCCCCGUUAUUUUUGCUCAACAUCUGUAUGAAAAAUAUAAUUUUAUAUUCUUUAUAGUUAGAGCGGCAACCUAAAGUUUUAUGACAAUUAUGUAAAGUAUUAAGCAAUUUUUCUGAAGUUGGACAUUUGGCCAUCUUAUUAUCUGCACUUUUUCUUACUAUUUAAAAUGUUGCCACCAGCGUCGCCCUUCUUGCUUGUUUACUGGUUUGUUGAUUUGGGGUUUGGGACAGUUGUUGGGGUUUGCUUUUCCGUGCGGGCUCCUGUUGCCCAGGCCGGCCUGGGAGCCCUAAGAGCUGGUCUAGAACGCUUGUUCUGCCCUCUGCGACACCCAAGCUCUGCUUCACCGGCCUAGCCCUUUCCUUGCCUUGACUGGACAAGAUCUGGGACGUGAAUUCUAGAAUUUCAGUACUGUUAAAAGCCUUAGCUGUUUUUAAAGGGCUAUAAGGGCUAUGAAACUUUUUCAAGCAUCCCCUCCCCAAGUGUUGUUGCCUUAUCGACAAUUUAAAUCUCGCUACCGUGUUUUUUGGUGUGGCUGCCAGCGCGGAGCGCCCGUCGCCAUUUCUCAGAAAACUGAGGAAAUGAAGACUUUCUGUCCGCAGCACUGCGGAGGGACGCGAAGUCAGUCAAGAUCAAGAAGAGUAAUGAGAACGGGAAGCUCAAGGUUCGCCGCGGCCGGUAUCUGUACACCCUGGUCAGCACAGACAAGAAGGAAGAGAGGUUGAAGCCGUCAGUACCCUGUCCCCUAGGUUUGGCAGUGAAGGAGUUGAAAUGAAUCAGACGUAGCAUUUGACUAUAAAAACCUUGAAAAGUCAGAAAUAAAAUAAAAUUUAAGUCCAA